GGCGGCAGGCCUAACACAUGCAAGUCGAGCGGAAACGAGUUAUCUGAACCUUCGGGGAACGAUAACGGCGUCGAGCGGCGGACGGGUGAGUAAUGCCUAGGAAAUUGCCCUGAUGUGGGGGAUAACCAUUGGAAACGAUGGCUAAUACCGCAUAAUACCUACGGGUCAAAGAGGGGGACCUUCGGGCCUCUCGCGUCAGGAUAUGCCUAGGUGGGAUUAGCUAGUUGGUGAGGUAAUGGCUCACCAAGGCGACGAUCCCUAGCUGGUCUGAGAGGAUGAUCAGCCACACUGGAACUGAGACACGGUCCAGACUCCUACGGGAGGCAGCAGUGGGGAAUAUUGCACAAUGGGCGCAAGCCUGAUGCAGCCAUGCCGCGUGUGUGAAGAAGGCCUUCGGGUUGUAAAGCACUUUCAGUCGUGAGGAAGGUAGUGUAGUUAAUAGCUGCAUUAUUUGACGUUAGCGACAGAAGAAGCACCGGCUAACUCCGUGCCAGCAGCCGCGGUAAUACGGAGGGUGCGAGCGUUAAUCGGAAUUACUGGGCGUAAAGCGCAUGCAGGUGGUUUGUUAAGUCAGAUGUGAAAGCCCGGGGCUCAACCUCGGAAUAGCAUUUGAAACUGGCAGACUAGAGUACUGUAGAGGGGGGUAGAAUUUCAGGUGUAGCGGUGAAAUGCGUAGAGAUCUGAAGGAAUACCGGUGGCGAAGGCGGCCCCCUGGACAGAUACUGACACUCAGAUGCGAAAGCGUGGGGAGCAAACAGGAUUAGAUACCCUGGUAGUCCACGCCGUAAACGAUGUCUACUUGGAGGUUGUGGCCUUGAGCCGUGGCUUUCGGAGCUAACGCGUUAAGUAGACCGCCUGGGGAGUACGGUCGCAAGAUUAAAACUCAAAUGAAUUGACGGGGGCCCGCACAAGCGGUGGAGCAUGUGGUUUAAUUCGAUGC
rnacentral:rRNA from 1 species